rnacentral:tRNA from 1 species
GGCCAGGUAGCUCAGUUGGUACGAGCGUCCGCCUGAAAAGCGGAAGGUCGGCGGUUCGAUCCCGCCCCUGGCCACCC